rnacentral:sRNA from 1 species
UCCAUUAUUCGCACCAUCCGAAGGAUGGUGGGUUAGCGCGCGGCCUGAGUAGCCAAGCAACCCGCCCCAUGAGGCGGGUUUU